AAUAACUUCAAAAAUUGAAGCAUCAGCUUAAUAGAAUUGUUAUUAAUGCAUUCGCACAAAUAAUAAAUCUGCAUCAUUAAAGAUGCUUAUUGUCUUUAAAAUAAUCUAUGCAGUUGUCAAGGUUCUCUGAAAACAAUGAAAUUAAUUCAAUGAGUCCAGCAUCUUAAUGAUUUCAUUAGGAAGCUAGAUUCUUUCAGAAUUUGAUCACAACUCAAAACAUUUCCUUUCUACCGGUUAUGCAAGAGGUGGUAAUCAGUGGAGGUAAGCGGACUCGAACCGCCGACAUCCUGCUUGCAAAGCAGGCGCUCUACCAACUGAGCUAUACCCCCAACAUAGAGAUAUGGGCCAUCCUGGACUUGAACCAGGGACCUCACCCUUAUCAGGGGUGCGCUCUAACCACCUGAGCUAAUGGCCCAGGAAAAAUAAUGGGUGUGACCUAGAAAAACUUAGGAAAUGAAAUUCUUAAUAAAUUAAAAACGUGAGAUACCGAUCGACCUAAGGUGACAAAAUAAUAAUAUUAAACAUUUUGUUGUCUCCCUG
rnacentral:tRNA from 1 species